rnacentral:piRNA from 1 species
UGGGUUUAGCAUAUAGCUUAGUGCUGC